rnacentral:rRNA from 1 species
AGUGAACGCUGGCGGUAGGCCUAACACAUGCAAGUCGAACGGCAGCACAGUAAGAGCUUGCUCUUACGGGUGGCGAGUGGCGGACGGGUGAGGAAUACAUCGGAAUCUACUUUUUCGUGGGGGAUAACGUAGGGAAACUUACGCUAAUACCGCAUACGACCUACGGGUGAAAGCAGGGGAUCUUCGGGCCUUGCGCGAUUGAAUGAGCCGAUGUCGGAUUAGCUAGUUGGCGGGGUAAAGGCCCACCAAGGCGACGAUCCGUAGCUGGUCUGAGAGGAUGAUCAGCCACACUGGAACUGAGACACGGUCCAGACUCCUACGGGAGGCAGCAGUGGGGAAUAUUGGACAAUGGGCGCAAGCCUGAUCCAGCCAUACCGCGUGGGUGAAGAAGGCCUUCGGGUUGUAAAGCCCUUUUGUUGGGAAAGAAAAGCAGCAGGUUAAUACCCCGCUGUUCUGACGGUACCCAAAGAAUAAGCACCGGCUAACUUCGUA